GUAACCAGUACACAUCCAUGUGCAACGCUGAUGGCGCUGAGCUGUCAGCAGGGAUAUAGAUGUAGAUUAUUUCACAUCAACAGAUGGAAACAAAGUGCUGGAUGUGGAAUUGACAGAGGAGCAGUGGGGGGUUUAUAAGAGUGAAGUCAUAAAUCAAAGACAGAGAGAGAAGUGAUGCAGCAGCUCAGUCACUGCAUGAUUUAAAAGAUCUGAAUUUAUGUAUUUAGAUGAACAAAUGUGAACAGAAGUAACAUAUUGUGAACUAAAUGUAAUGUACAUCUGCAAUCUGCAGCCACAGUUACACACUUAGCAUAAAAGUACAUGAAGAAACUGUUCAGAGAGCGAG